CGAACGGACUCGUAUUGAAACCUAGUGAUAUAUGAGUUAGUGGCGGACGGGUGAGUAACGCGUGGGUAACCUGCCUUACACAGGGGGAUAACACUUAGAAAUAGGUGCUAAAACCGCAUAAGCGCACAGCUUUGCAUGAAGCAGUGUGAAAAACUCCGGUGGUGUAAGAUGGACCCGCGUCUGAUUAGCUUGUUGGCGGGGUAACGGCCCACCAAGGCGACGAUCAGUAGCCGGCCUGAGAGGGCGGACGGCCACAUUGGGACUGAGACACGGCCCAGACUCCUACGGGAGGCAGCAGUGGGGAAUAUUGCACAAUGGGGGAAACCCUGAUGCAGCGACGCCGCGUGAGUGAAGAAGUAAUUCGUUACGUAAAGCUCUAUCAGCAGGGAAGAAAUACUGACCUUACGGUCAGCAGACGGUACCUGAGUAAGAAGCCCCGGCUAACUACGUGCCAGCAGCCGCGGUAAUACGUAGGGGGCAAGCGUUAUCCGGAUUUACUGGGUGUAAAGGGAGCGUAGACGGUACGCCAAGUCUGAAGUGAAAUGCCGCAGCUUAACUGCGGAACUGCUUUGGAAACUGGCGGGCUGGAGUG
rnacentral:rRNA from 1 species